UUUCAGUAGUUUACUACAGAAAAUGACUGAGCGGCGAACGGGUGAGUAACGCGUGAGCAAUCUACCUUAGUUACAGGGAUAGCCCGAGGAAACUCGGAUUAAUACCUGAUAUUCUUUAUUUCUCGCAUGAGAAUAAAAGGAAAGGUCAGCCGAACUAAGAUGAGCUCGCGUUCUAUCAGCUAGUUGGUGAGGUAAAAGCUUACCAAGGCUACGACGGAUAGCUGGUCUGAGAGGACGAUCAGCCACACUGGGACUGAGACACGGCCCAGACUCCUACGGGAGGCUGCAGCAGGGAAUAUUGUGCAAUGAACGAAAGUUUGACACAGCGACACCGCGUGUGGGAUGACGGAUCUAGGUUUGUAAACCACUUUCAGGAGGGAAGAAAAUGACGGUACCUCCACAAGAAGCCCCGGCCAACUACGUGCCAGCAGCCGCGGUAAUACGUAGGGGGCGAGCGUUGUCCGGAUUUAUUGGGCGUAAAGAGCUCGUAGGCGGUUCAACAAGUCGGUCGUGAAAGUUCAGGGCUCAACCCUGAAAUGUCGAUCGAUACUGUUGUGACUAGGAUACGGUAGAGGUGAGUGGAAUUCCGAGUGUAGCGGUGAAAUGCGUAGAUAUUCGGAGGAACACCAAUUGCGAAGGCAGCUCACUGG
rnacentral:rRNA from 1 species